ACGGCGGGCUCGUGAGCGCGCUGCCGCCUGGACCGCGCCUGGGCUUUAGAGAGAAUGCGGAUAAGGGUCGAGGCGGGAAAGGGGUGACCGCCCCUCAGCUCCUGAGCUACUCCGGCGCUUGGGUUCCCGCAGCUCUGACUAUCCGGACCCUCAGGGAGGAGCCCUAGGCUCUCGCUACUCCAGGGAGCUGCCGCCGUUCUGAGUAAACACAAGAUUUUGCCAGACGUGAGGGUGAGGAGGAAAAAGGGGUGGCUACAAUCCCGUAGCUGAAGUCACCAAUGCAAAUCCUGCACGCCUACGUGACUGACCCGCAUAAAAGGCUCAGACGUGUUCCAAACAAGCUGUGAUUUUCUUGGCAAAACAGCCCUAUCAAGAGUCUCGCCAACUUCUAUCUUGGGGAACGCAGAGACUAGGGCAAGGGAAAGAAAAACGAGGCUAGACGCCAGUCCCCUAUGGGAAAAGAAAGAACACACCUGGAGAGCAGUUCACACAAAGGUAGCCAAGGGGGAAAAAACAGUAAUUGGAGAGACUGCCUCCAAGCUGCCGCUGGUUUACAAGGUAAAUCUAUUCCUGGACGAAAGGGAUACAGUAGCAGCACACUAAAAACUGGGGCGGAUUGUAUCUCCUUCAAGGCUCCGCUCUAAUGACCUUCCUUCCAGGAAG